AAUCCGGUAUAUCCAAGGCCUAACCAGCCAGAUAUUAGCGAGUCCUGGGAUGGUGCCAGUAAUGACACCUGACAAGCGUAGACAGCAAGCAAGUAGGGUCGUUAAAGCGAUUGAGCCUCGAAAAGUUAGUUAUUCCAGUUGGCCGACGUCUUAACUGGUGCGGAAGGCAACAUCGUGCAGCUCGACAUGGUGAGAACUGCAUGGCACUGCGGGGUCAGAGAGC
rnacentral:ncRNA from 1 species